ACUCUUUUUUUUUUUUUAAGACAGUCAGGCUCUGUAACCCAGGCUGGAGUGCAGUGGCGCGAUCUCGGCUUACUGCAACCUCCACCUCCCGGGUUGAAGCAGUUCUGCCUCAGCCUCCCGAAGGGCGCCACCACGCCCGGCUAAUUUUUGCAUUUUUAGUAGAGACAGGGUUUCGCCAUGUUGGCCAGGCUGGUCUCGAACUCCUGACCUCAAGCGAUCUGCCCGCCUCGGCCUCCCAAAGUGCCGGGAUUACAGGCGUGAGCCACCGCGCCCGGCCUACCCUUGAAGACCCCGCAGUCAAGGUCCUCCGGCCCCGCUCUGCGCGGCGCUCUGGUCUUGGGGCUCGGGACUCUGUCAUCCCGGGCAGGGGCCAGUCCGAUCCUUGCACCCUUGCCUGGCACCGUCCCUGGAGCCUUGGCGUCCUGGCCUCUCCUCCCCGCGGGCUGGGGGUGGAGUGGCCGGGCCGGAACCAGCGCGCAAAGCAGAUGGCGAGCGCCGAGGUCGGUUUGGCCCCGCCGCGCCUCAAGGCAGCAGCCACCCUGGGGAAGGUGGAUGCCGGAAGGGGCGUCGCCUGCGGGUCACCCAGAGGACACCCGGCGGGGAAUUCCGAGGGUGGGAGUGAGGAGAGAGCGACCGCUUGGUGUCUCAGAGCGCGGCCCGGAGCCGCACUAGGAGCGCUGGACGGCGGGAGAGAGGCUCGGAGGACCGGUAGUUCCCAGCAAAGCGGCCUAGCGGAUGUCGGGAGCUAUCUUCGGGCCCCUGGAGGGCCCGAGCUCCCUGGAUGCCCCGAGCAUCCACCCGCUGGUGUGCCCGCUGUGCCACGUGCAGUACGAGCGCCCGUGUCUUCUGGACUGCUUCCACGACUUCUGUGCCGGCUGCCUGCGUGGCCGCGCGACCGACGGCCGCCUCACCUGCCCGCUGUGCCAACACCAGACGGUGGUGAAGGGUCCCAGCGGGCUCCCGCCCGUGGACCGGCUGCUGCAGUUCCUGGUGGACAGCUCAGGGGAUGGCGUGGAGGCGGUGCGCUGUGCCAACUGUGACCUGGAGUGCAGCGAGCAGGCAGGGGCGGUGGGGCGGGUGGGUGAGGAGCAGAGGGUACCAGGUUGCAUAGUCCCCAAUGCUUGCACAUGCACUCAGCAUAUCUUCAGAGGACGACCUGGCAGUGGAUUCUCCAGCACCUCCCUAGGGCACCUUGGCCCUGAAUGUGAACCCCAUUAUACCGGUGGGGAGACUGAGGUCCAGAACAAGGGACUUGAGUUACUGUCCAGACAGUGGCAGAGGCUAAGGCCAUUCGAUGUGGGGAGAGCUCACUGGUCCCCAGUUCAGGGUGGAGUUGUGGACCUGCACAGGAGGGGCAGUCCAGUUUGCAGGCCUGGGCCGACCCUGAAGGGCCUCUGCUACCCAAGUGGCAUAGAAGCAGCUACAGCCCAGGGGAGGUGGGGACAGCAUGCUGUUCCCUCUGGGCUGUAAAAGGCACGGGGGACUCUGGCCUGCGGAGGCCAGAAAAUGUAUCAGGAAUCCCAGGAGGACGGCCCGACUGGGGCAAAAGCUCCAGCUUUCUGGGCAAGUCCUGAGCAAUGUGUGACCCAGAGGUACAGAGAGGAUUAGCAGGAGGUAGGGACUGCAGGUAGGGCCUGUUAUGUCAACCAUUGCAUGCGUCCAUACCAGGGCUGCAAGCCAAGCCCUGGAAUCCCAGCCCUGGGUCUGGCUUGGGGAGGAGAACCUUAAAGCCCUCACUGCUCUUCCCCUCCCCCCGCCCCCAGGUGUGACUCCAGAUGGCCAGGGUGUACACCACCUUUUGGCCACUAUUGAGUGUGCCAAGGGGGCCGUGAGAGGCCCUCACACUCCUUUUGUUG
rnacentral:sRNA from 1 species